rnacentral:lncRNA from 1 species
GGAGUUUGUCGGCAGCAACAGGCACGGUCUCCAGAAGAAGGUGUGUGCAACCAUACCUUUAAUCCCAGAUGACCUUGAACUCAGAGAUCUCCUUAUCUUAAUCUUCUGGAAUUCAUAGCCACUAUACCUCAAGAUCUCCAUGCCAAGAUCCAGGUCAGAAACUUGUAUCUCCCAGCCUCCAGAUUAGGAUCACAGGUUUCUGUUGCUGAGAUGAAACGCCAUGACCAAGAAGCAAGUUGAGGAGGAAAGGGUUUAUUCAGCUUACACUUCCAUACUGCUGUUCAUCACCAAAAGAGGGCACCAACUGUUCUGAUCUCUUGAAGAGCUCCUCAGGCAACCUUCUGUUUCUAGCAAGAUGAUACACCCAAGCCUUGAUGACAAGGCUUGGCUCUCAACCUCCUUGCUCCCCACCUCCUGUGAAAUACACAAAGAAAUUCAGUGAUCAUCGGGGAUGCUCUGGUCCAAACACUACCUGCCAGCCAGACGCAGGAGAUGGAUGGCUCAGCAGUAAUCGUGCUGCUUGAGCUUGGUGUCUAAUGGGGACAGUAGUGACAGGAAGUUCACAGGGACUGGAAGACAUGAGUUCUCUGAGGGAAAGGAAGGUGAAGCCUGGUGCUUAGGACCCUCAGGAGACCAUAGGAUGUGAGAAGGCUCAAGACACCCAGAGGUGGGGUCAGAAACAGGGCAAAGGAGACCAAGCAUGGGAGAGCUGCAGUGGACGUGUACAGACAGGAGAAGCAGGCCCUAAAGAAUCCCUGAGGCGGCAGAGAGGCUGGGCUGUGGAACUUUUUAAUUACUUUGCAUUAGGGGACUGUAGAGACCCAGAAGCCCACCCUUCCCCUCCCCUCAUCAGCUUAGCCCCAACAUAUGGUGGCUACCAAAGUAGUUAAAUCGGCUCUUGGUAGAAAAGGAAAGAGAUUCCUCCCAGGCUCUUCCCAGGGUCCACGGCCACACUCCAGGAGGGCUCAACUCCAGGGCAAGGCAGCUGGGACAGCAGGCAGCUGAAGGAGGACUAUUACUGCACCUUAGGGAAGAGUGCAGUGGCGAGUGGGGAGGACUCUGCUGGGACCCGGGGGUCAUGUGCAUUCCCAUUUAGUUGAGCUCUGCUUAAUCCGGGCCUAGGCUCACAGUAAUGGGGAACGAGGAGAGGCUCCCAUCAGAGACCAAGAAGAUGACAGACUCUCUGUAAAGGCUGUCAGAGGGGUCUGCAUGACCAACCACACCUGCUCCUGUUCCUUUGGGGCUCUUGUGACCUCCCUGUCUUCUUGUGAGAUCUUAUGUUCCUCCAACCCUGAGAGCUACAAACCAAUCUCCGGAAUAAAAAAAUCUGUCCCUCGUGCUGUCA